rnacentral:rRNA from 1 species
GUGAGGAAUAUUGGUCAAUGGAGGCAACUCUGAACCAGCCAUGCCGCGUGCAGGAAGACGGUCCUAUGGAUUGUAAACUGCUUUUAUUUAGGAAUAAACCCCCGGUCGUGCACCGGGGCUGAAUGUACUAAAAGAAUAAGCACCGGCUCACUCCGUGCCAGCAGCCGCGGUAAUACGGAGGGUGCAAGCGUUAUCCGGAAUCAUUGGGUUUAAAGGGUCCGCAGGCGGGUAAAUAAGUCAGAGGUGAAAUCCGGCAGCUCAACUGUCGCACUGCCUUUGAUACUUUUUAUCUUGAAUUUUAGUGGAGUGGGCGGGAUAUGUCAUGUAGCGGUGAAAUGCUUAGAUAUGACGUGGAACACCGAUAGCGAAGGCAGCUCACUAACUAUGAAUUGACGCUCAUGGACGAAAGCGUGGGUAGCAAACAGGAUUAGAUACCCGAGUAGUCC